rnacentral:rRNA from 1 species
AUUGAACGCUGGCGGCAGGCCUAACACAUGCAAGUCGAACGAGUGGCGGACGGGUGAGUAAUGUCUGGGAAACUGCCCGAUGGAGGGGGAUAACUACUGGAAACGGUAGCUAAUACCGCAUACCAUCAGAUGUGCCCCGAUGGGAUUAGCUAGUAGGUGGGGUAACGGAUCACCUAGGCGACGAUCCCUAGCUGGUCUGAGAGGAUGACCAGCCAAACUGGAACUGAGACCCGGUCCAGACUCCUACGGGAGGCAGCAGUGGGGAAUAUUGCACAAUGGGCGCAAGCCUGACGCAGCCAUGCCGCGUGGGUGAAGAAGGCCUUCGGGUUGUAAAGUACUUGCAGCGAGGAGGCGUUACUCGCAGAAGAAGCACCGGCUAACUACGUGCCAGCAGCCGCGGUAAUAC